rnacentral:rRNA from 1 species
GAUGAACGCUAGCUACAGGCUUAACACAUGCAAGUCGAGGGGAAACGGCAUUAAGUGCUUGCACUUUUUGGACGUCGACCGGCGCACGGGUGAGUAACGCGUAUCCAACCUUCCCAUGACUAAGGGAUAACCUGCCGAAAGGCAGACUAAUACCUUAUGGUCUUCACUGACGGCAUCAGAUGUGAAGUAAAGAUUUAUCGGUUAUGGAUGGGGAUGCGUCUGAUUAGCUUGUUGGCGGGGUAACGGCCCACCAAGGCAACGAUCAGUAGGGGUUCUGAGAGGAAGGUCCCCCACAUUGGAACUGAGACACGGUCCACACUCCUACGGGAGGCAGCAGUGAGGAAUAUUGUUCAAUGGGCGAGAGCCUGAACCAGCCAAGUAGCGUGCAGGAUGACGGCCCUAUGGGUUGUAAACUGCUUUUGUAUGGGGAUAAAGUCAAUCACGUGUGAUUGUUUGCAGGUACCAGACGAAUAAGGACCGGCUAAUUCCGUG